rnacentral:rRNA from 1 species
GACGAACGCUGGCGGCGUGCUUAACACAUGCCAGUCGAACGGAAAGGCCCUGCUUGCAGGGUACUCGAGUGGCGAACGGGUGAGUAACACGUGGGUGAUCUGCCCUGCACUUCGGGAUAAGCCUGGGAAACUGGGUCUAAUACCGGAUAGGAGCCAUUUUUAGUGUGAUGGUUGGAAAGUUUUUUCGGUGUAGGAUGAGCUCGCGGCCUAUCAGCUUGUUGGUGGGGUAAUGGCCUACCAAGGCGGCGACGGGUAGCCGGCCUGAGAGGGUGGACGGCCACAGUGGGACUGAGAUACGGCCCAGACUCCUACGGGAGGCAGAAGUGGGGAAUAUUGCACAAUGGGCGCAAGCCUGAUGCAGCGACGCCGCGUGGGGGAGGACGGCCUUCGGGUUGUAAACUCCUUUCGCUAGGGACGAAGCUUUUUGUGACGGUACCUAGAUAAGAAGCACCGGCUAACUACGUG